GGGCGUAAAGAGCUCGUAGGCGGUUUGUCGCGUCUGCUGUGAAAAUCCAAGGCUCAACCUUGGACCUGCAGUGGGUACGGGCAGACUAGAGUGCGGUAGGGGAGAUGGGAAUUCCUGGUGUAGCGGUGGAAUGCGCAGAUAUCAGGAGGAACACCAAUGGCGAAGGCACAUCUCUGGGCCGUAACUGACGCUGAGGAGCGAAAGCGUGGGGAGCGAACAGGAUUAGAUACCCUGGUAGUCCACGCCGUAAACGGUGGGUACUAGUUGUGGGCCACAUUCCACGUGGUCCGUGACGAAGUUAACACAUUAAGCACCCCGCCUGGGGAGUACGGUCGCAAAACUAAAACUCAAAGGAAUUGACGGGGGCCCGCACAAGCGGCGGAGCAUGCGGAUUAAUUCGAUGCAACGCGAAGAACCUUACCAAGGCUUGACAUAUAGAGGAAACGUGCAGAAAUGUACGCCCCGCAAGGUCUCUAUACAGGUGGUGCAUGGUUGUCGUCAGCUCGUGUCGUGAGAUGUUGGGUUAAGUCCCGCAACGAGCGCAACCCUCGUCCUAUGUUGCCAGCACGUAAUGGUGGGAACUCAUGGGAGACUGCCGGGGUCAACUCGGAGGAAGGU
rnacentral:rRNA from 1 species